rnacentral:rRNA from 1 species
UUUGGGGGAUGUAUAGUACUCUUAUGAGGCUAGUUGUGUUUUGAAUAAAAGUAAAUCGUUAUAAAAUAAACAUAACACCAACUACGUUGGAUAAAAUUCUAGAUAGAAUACUUAUUAUGACUAUUUUCUAUCUAUAUGUCUUGACCAAAUUACGUGCCAGCAGUCGCGGCAAUACGUAGAAGACUAGUGUUAUUCAUCUUUACUAGGUUUAAAGGGUACCUAGACGGUAUUAUUAAGCCACCUCUUCUUUGCUAGAGGUAAGGCAAAUAUUUUACUAGAGUUUAAUGUAAGAAGGGAGAAUUUAGGGUGUAGAGAUAUAAUUCGUUGAUACUCUGAAGACUGGUAAUGGCGAAAGCACCCUUCUAUGUAAUAACUGACGUUAAGGGACGAAGGCUUGGGGCGCAACCAGGAUUAGAUACCCUAUUAGUCCAUGCAGAUAAUUAUGAAUGCCAUAGACUAGAUAUAAUUUAGUUUAUAAAUGAAAGUGUAAGCAUUCCACCUCAAGAGUACUGUGGCAACGCUGGAACUGAAAUCAUUAGACCGCUUCUGAGAACAGUAGUGAAGCAUGUUAUAUAAUCCGAUAGCCCUCGUAAAACCUUACCACAACUUGAAUGGUGUCCUCUUUUCUUUAGCGAAGCAAAUUCGCUUUUUCUUACUUGUUUGCUCAGCUCUCUGGUGCCCUACCCCUUUGCUUUGCUAGGGUAAGGGCAAAGAAGCGCAAGGCCAUACAAGGUCUCUCUAGAUAAGUAUGCCUUGCAAGGCCAGAGAGAGAGGGGUCUUUGCCCCUCUAGAAGCAAACCCCUCUUCAUGGGGCUUUGCUUCUAGAGCAAAAGAAGAGAUAUUAAAUUAAAGGGAUGUUACAGGUGUUGCACGGUUGUCUUCAGCUAAUGUCGUGAGAUUGUGGUUAGUUCCAUAAAAUUAGCGUAAACCCCGGCUUUAUUUUUUAAUUAUUAUGAUAAAGUAGUUCGUCUGUAUAUUGAUAAAUGAUAACAGGGAAAAGAC